GCUAGCAGCCAUAUCACCCUGCAACUCACAACUGGGAACCCACUGAAGCUCAGCAGGUGUGUCUGGUCAGUACCUGGUCAGUACCUGGAUGGGAGACCUCCUGGGAAAAACUAAGGUUGCUGCUGGAA
rnacentral:rRNA from 1 species